UACGGGGGGGGGGCAAGCGUUGUUCGGAAUUACUGGGCGUAAAGCGUGCGCAGGCGGCUUUGCAAGACAGAUGUGAAAUCCCCGGGCUUAACCUGGGAACUGCAUUUGUGACUGCAUGGCUGGAGUGCGGCAGAGGGGGAUGGAAUUCCGCGUGUAGCAGUGAAAUGCGUAGAUAUGCGGAGGAACACCGAUGGCGAAGGCAAUCCCCUGGGCCUGCACUGACGCUCAUGCACGAAAGCGUGGGGAGCAAACAGG
rnacentral:rRNA from 1 species